rnacentral:tRNA from 1 species
GGUGCUGUGGCGCAGUGGGUUAACGCACUGGCCUGAAGCACCGGCAUCCUAUACGGGUGCUGGUUCUAGUCCAGGCUGCUCCU